UCAGCCUGAACCCCCACUACAUACACCUGCUGCUGUUCAAAGUCCAGCUCUCCACCCAGAUACAGCUCCCCUGGAGAGAGAGAAUAGGUCACUCUACAGAAUGUAAAUGAUAAUGCUACAUUGUGUGACCCAGUGUCUACACUGCUCCCCAUGCACUCACUCAGCUGCACUGAUGCAGACAACGACUUUCUAACAGCCACCAUCACUAACGGUACACAGUUUUCAGGCUGCUGUUACCUGUUCAACUCUACCACAGGAUAACAGCGUUGGCUGUAGGGGAUGUCUACCAUCAACAACCUGCAGUGAUCUAUCUGCUGUUUACACCAUCUGGUUCUGCCUGAAGAGGAUUCGUAUGUUUGCAGUCAGGCAUUUUAGAGUAAUUGUGAUUUCAAUUACAGGUCGAUGUGAAGUUUGUAAUAUUUGAAAAGAUAUACUGUAUUGAAUACAUAAUCAUGCUGACAUCCUGUGUUGGAGGCUACUCCUAAAGGACUAUUCCUUGCGUAAUUGGUCAGUUGCUCGAUUAAGUUCUGGGUCCAUACAUGUUAAGAGAAGGGAUCAAGAAUUGCUAGAACGAUGUGCGGAACAAGGAGCUCCACCCUGUCUCUUUGCUCCACCCCCCCCC
rnacentral:lncRNA from 1 species